rnacentral:rRNA from 1 species
AGUGAACGCUGGCGGUAGGCCUAACACAUGCAAGUCGAACGGCAGCACAGUAAGAGCUUGCUCUUACGGGUGGCGAGUGGCGGACGGGUGAGGAAUACAUCGGAAUCUACUUUUUCGUGGGGGAUAACGUAGGGAAACUUACGCUAAUACCGCAUACGACCUACGGGUGAAAGCAGGGGAUCUUCGGACCUUGCGCGAUUGAAUGAGCCGAUGUCGGAUUAGCUAGUUGGCGGGGUAAAGGCCCACCAAGGCGACGAUCCGUAGCUGGUCUGAGAGGAUGAUCAGCCACAUUGGAACUGAGACACGGUCCAGACUCCUACGGGAGGCAGCAGUGGGGAAUAUUGGACAAUGGGCGCAAGCCUGAUCCAGCCAUACCGCGUGGGUGAAGAAGGCCUUCGGGUUGUAAAGCCCUUUUGUUGGGAAAGAAAAGCAGCAGGUUAAUACCCCGCUGUUCUGACGGUACCCAAGAAUAAGCACCGGCUAACUUCGUG